rnacentral:lncRNA from 1 species
CCAUGAGUGUUGUGAACAUUUGCUUUGUACCGAGUUGUAGAAUGUUUCUUGUGGGUAAAGACCUACUGUGAUUAAUUUUAGAUGCUGUGGAAGAGUCUUGAGGUGUUGUAAUAGAGAUUGGUAGAGAAAUUUGCAGUUUGGUUGAACUAAAAAUAGAAGAAAACAGUAUAAGAUGCUUCUGUUUUAGAGAAAUAUAGAUGGAAAGCCUUUUGUUUUG